rnacentral:rRNA from 1 species
UACGUAGGGACCGAGCGUUGUCCGGAAUCAUUGGGCGUAAAGAGCGUGUAGGCGGCCACUUAAGUCCUGCGUGAAAUCUUGCGGCUCAACCGCAAGCGGUCGUGGGAAACUGGGUGGCUAGAGUGCGGGAGAGGAGAGUGGAAUUCCUGGUGUAGCGGUGGAAUGCGCAGAUAUCAGGAAGAACACCCGUGGCGAAGGCGGCUCGCUGGGACGGUACUGACGCUGAGACGCGAAAGCGUGGGGAGCAAACAGG